AGUCGAACGGCAGCACGGAGAGCUUGCUCUCUGGUGGCGAGUGGCGAACGGGUGAGUAAUAUAUCGGAACGUGUCCAAUAAUGGGGGAUAACGAGUCGAAAGAUUCGCUAAUACCGCAUACGCCCUACGGGGGAAAGCAGGGGAUCGUAAGACCUUGCGUUAAUGGAGCGGCCGAUAUCUGAUUAGCUUGUUGGUGAGGUAAAGGCUCACCAAGGCGACGAUCAGUAGCUGGUUUGAGAGAACGACCAGCCACACUGGAACUGAGACACGGUCCAGACUCCUACGGGAGGCAGCAGUGGGGAAUUUUGGACAAUGGGGGCAACCCUGAUCCAGCCAUUCCGCGUGAGUGAAGAAGGCCUUCGGGUUGUAAAGCUCUUUCGCAAGGGAAGAAAACUUAUGAUCGAAUAAAUCAUGAGGUUGACGGUACCUUGAUAAGAAGCACCGGCUAACUACGUGCCAGCAGCCGCGGUAAUACGUAGGGUGCGAGCGUUAAUCGGAAUUACUGGGCGUAAAGCGUGCGCAGGCGGUUUUGUAAGUCGGAUGUGAAAUCCCCGGGCUCAACCUGGGAACUGCGUUCGAAACUGCAAGGCUAGAGUGUGUCAGAGGGGGGUAGAAUUCCACGUGUAGCAGUGAAAUGCGUAGAGAUGUGGAGGAAUACCAAUGGCGAAAGCAGCCCCCUGGGAUAACACUGACGCUCAUGCACGAAAGCGUGGGGAGCAAACAGGAUUAGAUACCCUGGUAGUCCACGCCCUAAACGAUGUCAACUAGUUGUUGGUAGAGUAAAUCUAUGAGUAACGUAGCUACGCGUGAAGUUGACGCCUGGGAGUAC
rnacentral:rRNA from 1 species